rnacentral:rRNA from 1 species
AUUGAACGCUAGCGGGAUGCUUUACACAUGCAAGUCGAACGGCAGCGCGGACUUCGGUCUGGCGGCGAGUGGCGAACGGGUGAGUAAUGUAUCGGAACGUGCCCAGUAGCGGGGGAUAACUACGCGAAAGCGUAGCUAAUACCGCAUACGCCCUACGGGCGAAAGCAGGGGAUCGUAAGACCUUGCACUAUUGGAGCGGCCGAUAUCGGAUUAGCUAGUUGGUGAGGUAACGGCUCACCAAGGCGACGAUCCGUAGCUGGUUUGAGAGGACGACCAGCCACACUGGGACUGAGACACGGCCCAGACUCCUACGGGAGGCAGCAGUGGGGAAUUUUGGACAAUGGGGGCAACCCUGAUCCAGCCAUCCCGCGUGUGCGAUGAAGGCCUUCGGGUUGUAAAGCACUUUUGGCAGGAAAGAAACGUCGCGGGCUAAUACCCCGUGGAACUGACGGUACCUGCAGAAUAAGCACCGGCUAACUACGUG